AUCUAUUACUGCGCUAUUGUCAAUGUAAAAGUUUGAUUGCAUAUUUUACGAAAGUAAUGAAUAUUAUCUCUUUGAUGAAAUUAAUUAAUUAAUUAAUGUGUAAACACAGAUGUGCAAUCCGAAAAUUAAAAUCAAAACUUUCGCACAAAGGAUAGAAACGUAAUUCGAGGAUAGGAGGUUACAAACACCAAAAUACAUGCUGCGAUCUUUUCACCCAACGGUGGAUAGAGACGGAAGGGAUGGAAAUGUACCAGAGGUAUUGGAUUUUGACCGCAAUGAAUCUUCUCUUGAUGACGGCAAAUUCUCAAUUAACUAAAUUAGGAGG